rnacentral:rRNA from 1 species
GACGAACGCUGGCGGCGUGCUUAACACAUGCAAGUCGAACGGUAAGGCCCUUCGGGGUACACGAGUGGCGAACGGGUGAGUAACACGUGGGUGAUCUGCCCUGCACUUCGGGAUAAGCCUGGGAAACUGGGUCUAAUACCGGAUAGGACCCUGGGAUGCAUGUCCUGGGGUGGAAAGCUUUUGCGGUGUGGGAUGGGCCCGCGGCCUAUCAGCUUGUUGGUGGGGUGAUGGCCUACCAAGGCGACGACGGGUAGCCGGCCUGAGAGGGUGACCGGCCACACUGGGACUGAGGUACGGCCCAGACUCCUACGGGGGGCAGCAGUGGGGGAUAUUGCACAAUGGGCGCAAGCCUGAUGCAGCGACGCCGCGUGAGGGAUGACGGCCUUCGGGUUGUAAACCUCUUUCAGCACCGACGAAGCGCAAGUGACGGUAGGUGCAGAAGAAGGACCGGCCAACUACGUGCCAGCCGCCGCCGUAA